rnacentral:rRNA from 1 species
UGAGUGCGAGCUGCUACGGCAGCGAAGUUGGUGACGUCAUGCUUCCAAGAAAAGCCCUAUACCCGUUAAGGCAUCAUGGCCUGUACCCGAAACCGACACAGGUGGGGUGGUAGAGAAUACCGAGGGGCGCGAGGUAACUCUCUCUAAGGAACUCGGCAAAAUGGCCCCGUAACUUCGGGAGAAGGGGUGCCACCGCAAGGUGGUCGCAGUGAAGAGGCCCAGGCGACUGUUUACCAAAAACACAGGUCUCCGCUAAGUCGCAAGACGAUGUAUGGGGGCUGACGCCUGCCCAGUGCCGGAAGGUUAAGGAAGCUGGUCAGCGCAAGCGAAGCUAGCAACUGAAGCCCCGGUGAACGGCGGCCGUAACGAUAACGGUCCUAAGGUAGCGAAAUUCCUUGUCGGGUAAGUUCCGACCCGCACGAAAGGCGUAACGAUCUGGGCGCUGUCUCGGAGAGAGGCUCGGCGAAAUAGAAUUGUCUGUGAAGAUGCGGACUACGUGCACCCGGACAGAAAGACCCUAUGAAGCUUUACUGUAGCUUGGUACUGUGCCCGGGCUCGCAAUGCGCAGGAUAGGUGGGAGGCUUUGAUCAUCGGCUUGCGGGUCGAUGUGAGCCAACGGUGAGAUACCACUCUUUGCGAGCUAGGGUUCUAACGGCCACCCGUCAUCCGGGGGCCGGACAGUACCUGGUGGGCAGUUUGACUGGGGCGGUCGCCUCCUAAAAGGUAACGGAGGCGCGCAAAGGUUUGCUCAGGCUGGUUGGAAAUCAGCCGACGAGUGUAAAAGCAGAAGCAAGCUUGACUGUGAGACCAACAAGUCGAACAGGGAGGAAACUCGGCUUUAGUGAUCCGACGGUUCUGAGUGGAAGGGCCGUCGCUCAACGGAUAAAAGUUACUCUAGGAUAACAGGCUGAUCUCCCCCAAGAGUUCACAUCGACGGGGAGGUUUGGCACCUCGAUGUCGGCUCAUCGCAACCUGGGGCUGAAGUCGGUCCCAAGGGUUGGGCUGUUCGCCCAUUAAAGCGGUACGCGAGCUGGGUUCAGAACGUCGUGAGACAGUUCGGUCCAUAUCCGGUGCACGCGCAGGAAUAUUGAGAGGAUUUCUCCCUAGUACGAGAGGACCGGGAGGAACGCACCUCUGGUGUACCAGUUAUCGUGCCAACGGUAAACGCUGGGUAGCCAUGUGCGGAGUGGAUAACCGCUGAAAGCAUCUAAGUGGGAAGCCCACCUCAAGAUGAGUAUUCCCAUGGCGUAAGCCAGUAAGGUCACGGGAAGAACACCCGUUGAUAGGCUCUAUGUGGAAGCGCAGUAAUGCGUGAAGCAGAGGAGUACUAAUAGACCGAGGGC